rnacentral:ncRNA from 1 species
CGAAUGUCUGACCGUCAAGGUUCCUGCGGGUCGUCGGCUCGCAGGCUAAGAGGGAAUUCGGGGAUGCUCGCAGGAGCUGCCCCCGCAACUGUCAGCGGUGAGCCCUUUCCGUCCAUGGUCACUGGUGCGACGCACCGGGAAGGCCGAGGCAAGGGCGACGACCCGCAAGCCAGGAGACCUGCCUUGCACAACGAUACGUCU